ensembl:lncRNA
CAACGUUUGUAGUUUUUUUUUUGUUUUAGUUUUUGCUCUAAUAUUUAUUUUUUAUUUGUAUUAAACAUGGUUUUAGUUAACAAUACGUGUGUGUGUGUGUUGUCAGAUUGUAUUGUUGAAUUGUCACUCUGAAAUAUGUCAGAUUGCAGACGUCAAAUACCAUUUCAUAUCGAAGGCAUUGGUUUAUUUGUGUUGUUUGGUUUCUUUCUGAAUCCUGCGCUCGGUGUUCACAGUCCAGAUGAAGCGUGUUUGCUUCAGAAACCCGAACCCAACAUCAUUAGAGAUGUCUCACUUCCGGGUGUCAUUUAACAGGUUUUAUUUCACACUAUUGGUGAGUCUUGCAGCGGUAUUUCAUCAUGCUGCCGUUAAUGCUGACUCUGUAUGUUCAGGAGGUGGUCCGGCUCACUUUCCAAAUGUCAUGUGCUAACUAACCCAAAACAAAUGUGUUAAAUGUGCAGCGAGUCCAUGUUCAGCGACUCACGGAUGAUUACGGUCUCCUUCACCAGCUGUUGACUUCUCCUAAUUACAGCUCUGACAUCAAUGACAGCAGAUCUUAGAAAGUGUAGCGGAGGAAAUUGCACAAAUACAGAACGGGAGGUGGAGCUGCUUUUCUGGAUGGAUGAACCUCUGCUUAUGUGUUACUGAUGUAAUUCCUGUGGGCUGGAGUGAGUGAGUGAGUGUGUGUGUGUGAGAGAGUGAGUGAGUGAGUGAGUGAGUGAGUGAGUGUGUGUGUGUGUGUGAGAGAGUGAGUGAGUGAGUGAGUGAGUGAGUGAGUGAGUGAGUGAGUGAGUGUGUGUGUGUGUGUGUGUGUGAGUGAGUGAGUGAGUGAGUGAGUGAGUGAGUGUGUGUGUGUGUGUGUGUGUGUGUGUGUGUGAGUGAGUGAGUGAGUCAGUGAGUGAGUGAGUGAGCGUCAGUGAGUGAGUGAGUGAGUGAGUGUGUGUGUGUGUGUGUGUGUGUGUGUGUGUGUGUGUGUGUGUGUGUGUGUGUGUGUGUGUGAGUGAGUGAGUGAGUGAGUCAGUGAGUGAGUGAGUGAGUGAGUGAGUGAGAGUCAGUGAGUGAGUGCCAUGUAAACAGUACUUUAUGGGAGUUAUAUCACAACUCUUCCAUGUGCCUUUCUGAUACAAAAGAUCCAAUUAAAGAGUUGCUCUUCCUCUUUCAAUUGCAGAAGAGACUGCAGAUAUUAACACUGUGAGUGACCCGAUUGGUGGAAGGUAGCAGGUUCCCCUUUCCAUCCCCCUGUGGUCACUUGUCAUGGUAUUCUGGGGUUUUAAUCGGGACAGUCUGGUGUGAGAGCAUUCAGGGUCUCAGCCUGACUCCUGUGUGCCACUGAUUACAGCUGAAGGCCUUCAGUGACGCUCAUGAGUCAUCACUACUGCUGAUGUUGAUGUACUGUUAAAACCUACCGAGUGUACUAGCAUUUAAAGACAUCAUACAUGCUCUCCAAGGCUGCUUCCAAAGGUUAGUUGCAUAAUUCUGUUAAGAUGCCAAAAUCUAAGAUCGCACUGCAUGCAAUCAAAGACGUGAGAAGCACUGAAUCACUUGCAUUUCAGUCGUCUUAGUAGGCAGCUGCCUAUGCAGACAGUAAUGCAGCUCUUUAGGGUUUGGAGCAGAGCCACUGAGUCUGUGUCCAGCAGCUGUAAUGAAAACAUGAAACACAUCGUUUGAACUUGAGCAGAGAGAGUCUGUGAGAGAGGAGCUGUUCACUGGAACACGAGCCACUGUGCUCUUCCUGUUCUGUAGUUUAUUCAUUAGAGAACAUGAGAGUGUAGCGCAUCUAUCUAUCUAUCUAUCUAUCUAUCUAUCUAUCUAUCUAUAUUUCUAUCUAUCUGUCUGUCUGUCUGUCCGUCCGUCCGUCCGUCCGUCUGUCUGUCUGUCUAUCUAUCUAUCUAUCUAUCUAUCUAUCUAUCUAUCUAUCUAUCUAUCUAUCUAUCUAUCUAUUUGUCUGUCCGUCUAUCUAUCUAUCUAUCUAUCUAUCUAUCUAUCUAUCUAUCUAUCUAUCUAUCUAUCUAUUAUUUUUAUCACCCACCCAUCCAUCCAUCCAUCCACCCAUCCAUCCA